GUAGGUUUCGGCGACAUGGUGCCCAAAACCUACCUGGGAAUGCUCGUCGGAUCCCUUUGUGCUCUGAUGGGUGUGCUCACAAUCGCCCUCCCAGUUCCAGUUAUUGUAUCCAAC
rnacentral:sRNA from 14 species